rnacentral:pre_miRNA from 1 species
GCAUGCUUCUCCUUGCGGUAUUGAGGAGAGGUCGCCCGUGGCGCGUUCGCAUAAAUCUUGCCGCACAAUACACGGUCGACCUCUUUUCAGUACCCAAUCCCACCUUGCA